UAACGCGUGAGGAACCUGCCUCAAAGAGGGGGACAACAGUUGGAAACGACUGCUAAUACCGCAUAAGCCCACGGCUCGGCAUCGAGCAGAGGGAAAAGGAGCAAUCCGCUUUGAGAUGGCCUCGCGUCCGAUUAGCUAGCUGGUGAGGUAAUGGCCCACCAAGGCGACGAUCGGUAGCCGGACUGAGAGGUUGAACGGCCACAUUGGGACUGAGACACGGCCCAG
rnacentral:rRNA from 1 species